AGUAGCGGCCAUAGCGGCGGGGAAACACCUGGACCCAUUCCGAACCCAGAAGUAAAGCCCGUCCACGUAUCGUGCGGUACUCAGGUACGCGAGUCCUCGGGAAACACGAUUCGCUGCUACUG
rnacentral:rRNA from 1 species